AUAAGCAGAUCAGGAAAGAAACACAAUUCCCUUUCUCCAUAUUGCCACCUUUUCUGUAUGUCUCUCAAUAUCCCCUUAUCAUCUUGGAGCCCUGAGCUUCCAUGUGAGAAGUACGACCACCCUGCUGCAAGAGACCACGUGGAGAUAAAAUGUAACUUAUCUAUCAUGAUGGGAUUAAUAUAAGCUCAACUCCAACCUGUUCUAAGUCAAAAGGCCUCUCACUGUUGUGGCCUCUCCC